rnacentral:rRNA from 1 species
AACGAACGCUGGCGGCAUGCCUAACACAUGCAAGUCGAACGCCCCGCAAGGGGAGUGGCGGACGGGUGAGUAACGCGUGGGAACCUGCACUUCAGUGGGGGAUAACGACGGGAAACUGUCGCUAAUACCGCAUACGCCCUACGGGGGAAAGAUUUAUCGCUGAAGGAUGGGCCCGCGUCGGAUUAGCUAGUUGGUGAGGUAAUGGCUCACCAAGGCGACGAUCCGUAGCUGGUCUAAGAGGAUGAUCAGCCACACUGGGACUGAGACACGGCCCAGACUCCUACGGGAGGAAGCAGUGGGAAAUAUUGGACAAUGGGGGAAACCCUGAUCCAUCAAUGCCGCGUGAGUGAUGAAGGCCUUAGGGUUGUAAAGCUCUUUCGGUGGUGACGAUGAUGACGGUAACCACAGAAGAAGCCCCGGCUAACUUCGUGCCAGCCGCCGCCGUAAUAC